CUGCUCGAGUUUAUUAGUAGCCAUUGUACAAGUACAAAGUCAAUAAACGUGUUACGGAAUCUGCACAGAAAUGGCACGGUUGCAUUGAGAAAUAGUAAGAGGCUGGUGUAGGAAUUGCUGGGGGGGCUGCUGCCUUGUCUUACCCCAAAGCAGCACAUACAUCUGCAAGCAGCUCUGCAGGGAAGGGAAGGGCCAUUGCAGCUCAGGAUGAGUGCCCAAUGCCUGGCUCGCUGGCAUGCCGCCUGCGUCCUGCUCCUGCUGCUGGCACCAGCCCACACGCCAGGGGCCCCAUGGGUACUGGCAGCGCUCCCAAGCUCUCUGGGGACUCUGACACAGUUGUCAUGGCAGGGUGAUUGGCCUUCCCAAAGAAGAAGCUGGCCCACCACUGGCCGGGGUCAGAUUUGGGCAGACCCGGGUGGUGGGGGAUGACCUCCCCAGCAUACUCAGAGCUACUGCAGGAGCUGUUGCUGGAUGUGGAGCUCAGACGCCUUCGGUGAUAGUUGUGCGUGGCCAUAAGCGAGCCGCUCGAUGGGAUGGAGGCCAUGGCUCCGGGUCCUGGGUUUGUGCUGAUGGAAAACCUGGCCGGCACUAGGGCCCAGUGGGGUCCGGAAGAGAAAGGGGAGGGUAAAGGGGCCCGGCGGGGCGCUCGAAGCCCCCGCCCGAGGGAGCGCAGCACCCGCGUCCGCUCCGCACGGCCUGAGCCGCGGCGC
rnacentral:lncRNA from 1 species